UACAGAGGUCUCAAGCGUUGUUCGGAUUCAUUGGGCGUAAAGGGUGCGUAGGCGGCGCGGUAAGUCGGGUGUGAAAUCUCGGAGCUUAACUCCGAAACUGCAUUCGAUACUGCCGUGCUUGAGGACUGGAGAGGAGACUGGAAUUUACGGUGUAGCGGUGAAAUGCGUAGAUAUCGUAAGGAAGACCAGUGGCGAAGGCGGGUCUCCUGGGACAGUUCCUGACGCUGAGGCACGAAGGCCAGGGGAGGCAAACGGG
rnacentral:rRNA from 1 species